GUGGGGAAUUUUGCGCAAUGGGGGAAACCCUGACGCAGCAACGCCGCGUGAGUGAUGAAGGCCUUCGGGUCGUAAAGCUCUUUUAGUGGGAAAGAAAUGCAUCGGUGCCAAUACCACCGGUGUUUGACGGUACCCACAGAAAAAGUUCCGGCUAACUCCGUGCCAGCAGCCGCGGUAAUACGGAGGGAGCGAGCGUUGUUCGGAAUCAUUGGGCGUAAAGCGCGCGCAGGCGGUCAGGUAAGUCAGACGUGAAAGCCCGUGGCUUAACCACGGAACUGCGUUUGAUACUGCCCGGCUAGAGUUCAGGAGAGGUGGGCGGAAUUCCCAGUGUAGAGGUGAAAUUCGUAGAUACUGGGAGGAACACCUGUGGCGAAGGCGGCUCACUGGACUGAUACUGACGCUGAGGCGCGAAAGCUAGGGGAGCAAACGGGAUUAGAAACCCGGGUAGUCC
rnacentral:rRNA from 1 species